rnacentral:lncRNA from 1 species
UGCAGCUUAAGUUAAUUUUAUAUUUGACGAAAAUUAAUUGCAAUAUUCACAAACAAUGAUUUCUCUUCUCAUUCACUAACUGCUGGGGGACUACGAUACCUACUAAAAUUAUUUCACUAACUAAUGGGGGACUACUAUGCCUACUAAAAUUUUUUGAUGUACUUAUUACACCAUUUAAAUUCUGAAAUAUAACUAAUUUUCAAAAUUAAAUUUUAAAAUAACUAUCCGCAGCAUCGCGCGGGUCCCUUAACUAGUUAGUACUCAAAAGCUGAUGAGUGCUUGUUACGUGUUGCAUGACCUCUCCCUUUCUCCAAACUCUGCUACUAAAGCUAGAGCAUGCACUAUAACAGAAUUAGAUUAUAGGAAUACAUAUUUGAGACACUUUUAUGUAAGUGUUCCAUUUAUGUCAAAACUUUAAAAAAAAUUUACUAAGGCCUAAAUAUAAAGCCUAAUCCAACAAAAAAUAAAAAGUUUCUUCUCUAUUCAACUCACCCCACUCAGUCCAUUCAGCCCGAUUACAAACAAAAAAGAAAAAAAAAUGAUCACCAUCUCCCCUUCUCCUCUUACUCAAUCCACUGAAAUUCUAGACGGCCUUCACUCUCCUCCUCCUCUGCCACCGGAGCUAACGAGGUAGAGUUCUGGCAGUUGCUAAAUGUUUAAAUAAGUGUUGGUAAAUUAGCAGCAUUCUUUUUAGAUUAUACCGACACUUUUAAACUGUCACUAUAUACCUAGCGACCACACAUAUAACAACACUUUUUAAAACUGGUAAUUUUGCCAGCAAUACUUUUUUUUACCGGUACCGAUAUUUAAAAGUGUCGCUAUACACCGUUUUUAUUAUAGUGAUGAUGUCACGGAUUUAAGUUAAAUCGCUUGUUUGGCCUAUACGGCGCUCAUCUUCCUUUGCGAAAUGAGCAAGUCUAUCUCUCUACUUACUAAGUUAGGACCUGCUCGUCCUAAACUAAGAACAAAAGAGAGAUAAAGAAAGCUCUUCUAUUUCUUUGAAGUAGAAAAUUACAAACGAGAAUUAUAUAUAAAUAAAUAAUUAUAUAUAAUAUAUAUUUUUAUAUUAUAAUUUAUAUAAUUUAUUCUAUUUCUUCUAUUUCUUCUAUUUCUAUUUCUCUGAAGUAGAAAGCUCUUCUAUUUUAUAUUUAUAUAAUUUAUUUAAUUUAUAUUUUUAUAUAUAAAUAAAGAAUUAUAUAUAAUAUAUAUUUUUAUUAUUUAAUUUUUAGCAAAAUAAAAAAUAUAAAUACGAGCUUAAUUAUAUAAAGACUAAUUUAUAUGUAAGGUUUCAACUAUUAGAUUAAAAUCUAAUAAAUAAGAUUUUAUAAAUUUAUUUUUUAUAUAUAUUCAAUCAAAUCCUUUUUAACUUAUUAUUCGUUGGCCAGCUCGUAAGCCAGCUCGUGUUCGGCUCGUUUAUUAAUGAACCGAACACGAGCUGAAUUUUUCGGCUCAAUAUUUUAACGAGCUAGCUCGUGUUCGGCUCAUUUACACUCCUAAUUUAAAGGCCACUCGCCACCCAUGAAGCAAAUAGAAAGAUGCCUAGUGGUAUAAAAAUACAAGCCAAAAAGAAAGGCUACGAGCUCCCAAGAGUUCUAAUAAAUAUAUUUUCUAGAAACAUAAAAACUCUAAGAGACUUCUCGAUUUCCGCGCCAUCAAUCUCGAGAUCCGCAGAGAUACUUUUAGAAGAUUAAGAUAAAACUUCCGACAAAUAUCCGCUUUGGAGUUUAAGUAAUUGUA